ACAUACACUCACUCACGCUGCAUCCCUCCCGUUCUGUUGCACUGAAGUCCAGAUUUGCUCUGACCAUUCCUGCACACAAGCAGAGAGCGACACAACAUGACGGUGCCUAAGACCAUAGAAACUGCCACAGAGGUGGGGGCAGAGAUCAUCUUCAAGGUUGCUGUCAUCUGGAAUUUUAUGUCCUUCAUUUUCUUUCACUCUAUAUGCCUGUCACAUCGGCUUAACUACCAGAGAAGACUCUUCUUGUCUUGAAACCUGACUGGAUUCUUCCAGCCUCUUUAGCUGAUGUAAAGAAAGAAAAUGCUUCUUCUUAUAGUCCUGGGCAGUACUCUGCAAGUCAUCUUGGAGAUCGCAAAGACUAUGGAGUUUUCUGGGAAGAAUCUGUCUUUCGUUUUUAUUUCUGCACUCCAAGCAGAUGUAAUAAAUGCUGCACAAGCACAAAUAUAUGUAACUUUUACCAGUGACUGUUUUUCAGGAGUGGUGCCAAAAAUGCAACCUACUGUGAUUUGUGUUUUUAAGCUGCGUAACAGAGGCCGAUCAGCUCUGCAUUUGCAGUCUAGAGGCAAACUCCUGCAUUUAUACAGGCAAAUUCCAGGACUGGAUGAACAGUGAGAGCAACCUCUCCAUUUCUGUGGGAUUUUCUCUACUACCAGAUCCAGUUCUAUAAAAUAUGACCUUCAAAUGGAGGGGGAACCUAAUCCUAUUCAAAGUUACACGUGCCUAAU